rnacentral:rRNA from 1 species
AGCUAUAUAUUAAAGAGAUUUAUUUAUAUAAAUAGGUUUGCUAGCUGAUUGUGUAUAUACGCAGGCCAAUGCUUCUAAUUUCAUAGCAAGCUCGCUUGCUAUGAAAUAGGCAACCAGUAAUAUAAGCAAGUGUGUGCUAUUUAUAGCGCUAGCCUACAAACCUAUAAUUAUAUUAACUCUAAGAGAAAUUUAAUAAUAAACGAAGUGAAUUGAAAUAUCUUAGUAACUUUAGGAAAAGAAAUCAAAAGAGAUUCUAUGAUUAGCGUGAGCUAAAAUAGACUAGCCUAAAAAGUCAAAUGGUGGAUAAACUGUUUAAAUUAAAUGGGGAACCUUCCUCAAAGGCUAAAUAUAAUAUAUAAGCGAUAGUGGAAAGUACCGUGAGGGAACCAAAACAAAAACAGUGAUUUUAUAAGCAGUUCGGAAAAAUAAAAAAAAAGUUAGAACGUACCUUUUGCAUAAUGGGUCACCAAGUUAACAUUAGAUGCGAGUAGGAGGGAGCAGCCCCGUGCAUACGUAGUUAAACCGAGCGUUAAAAUAACGGUAAGUAUCUAAAGUUAGACCCGAAGCCUGGUGAUUUUACCAUAAUCAGGAUUAUAAAAGUCCGAACGGAAUAUUGUAGCAUAAAUAUCCGAAGAAUUAUGGUAGGUGUAGUGAAAGACAAUACUGACCAGGAUAGCUGGUUUUCUGCGAAACCUAUAACAGUAGGCAAUUUAAGUAUAAUAUCUUAGCAGGUACAGAAUUUAAUCUCAGACAAGACAUAAGGCUUAGCUUGUUAGCAAGUAAAGCUCAUGUUUUAUUUUGUACAAAUUGGGGGAUCAUGAAGAUUUUAUCAGUGAGUAUGUAGACUCGGAAUGGCAAAGAUAUAUCUUAAAUCAUCAGACAUAGAAUGAUAAGGUUGUAUGUCAAAAGGGAAACAGCCCAGAACAAGAGUUAAGGUUCCUAAAUUAUUAGUUGAGUGAAAUUAAGAAGGUUUUUAUUAAAGUCGACAAGGAGAUAGGCUUAGAAGCAGCCAUAAUUUUAUGACCUCGUAACAGAGCGCUUGUUAAGUUUUAAAAGCAUCGAAAAUUUAUCGGAUCUAAACAAUAUACCGAAACCUUGUCCAUAUUAUUUUAUAAUUAAAGCUUAAUUAUAAUUAAAUGGGGUAGCAGAACGUUGAGCUAAAUUAAGAUUUUUAUUUUUUAAAUGAAAUUAUAAUAAUUUAACUCAAGUGAUAAUGGUGACAUGAGUAACUAAAAGAAAAAAUAAAAUUUUUCCGCCUAAAGCUUAUGGAUGUAAUUAAGUAACGGCCUCUAAGUUUAUAUUAUCUAAAGAUUUAAACGAUGAGAUAAUCUUUUGUACUAAGGACGACAUUUUAAGUGAAAAAUGUACUGGAAAAAUAGUACUAAAUUAAUGGCUAUAGCUAAUUAGGGCUAUAAAAAAAAAUUUAUUUUUUUUUUUAUAAAGCUCGCUAUAGCUAUAAAUGAAAAGUAACCGUACCUAGAAUCUGAAACAAGUAAGCUAGUAGAGAAUACGAAGGCGUAAAUGAGCUAACAAUCAUAAAGGAACUCGGCAAAUUGACUACCGUAACUUCGGGAUAAGGAGAGCUCAUUAUUCUUGAUUAAUAUCAGGUAAAGAGGAAGAAGCAUGAAAUAGUGUUGUACGACUGUUUAAUUAAAACACAGCACUUUGCUGAAAGAUUAAAAAUCUAAGUAUAGAGUGUGAUGUCUGCCCGGUGCCGGCUGGUUAACAGAUAUAAUUAAAUAUACUAAUAUUUGAUGUAGACGGAAACCCCGGUUAAAGGCGGCCUUAACGUGAGGGUCCUAAGGUAGCGAAAUGCCUUGGCCGUUAAAUGCGGUCUUGCAUGAAUGAUGUAACGAUACAACAGCUGUCUCUAUGAUUGACUCAGUGAAAUUGGAAUAGCUGUGCAGAUACAGUUUACCUCUAGUUAGACGAGAAGACCCUAUGCAGCUUUACUGUCACUAAUUAUAGAGUAUGAUAAACAAUUUUCAGAUUAUAAGGUAAUUGACGGCUAGCUUGUUCAGCAAGCUAGCUCUAUGACAAUGAGAAUCCUUUAUUUUUUUUUCAUAUGAAUGAAUUGGUUUAGGAUUAUGAGUAGGUAGCUGCUUCUGCUACUUGGCGCAAGCAUUGCUUGCGUCAAGUGUCUGAAGUAUGCAUUCCAGCUCAUGCAUAGUAAAUCAACCUAAUUCAGCUUAUUUUCCUUUCUGCCAUAAGCGCAUAAUGAUAGAUUUAACUUAAAUUUUGAUUUAUGCCGAGCCCCUCCGGGGCUACUGCAGAAAUAGAUAAGUACCCUUGGCUAAGGAACUAUCGCUAGGGGACAGUUUAUGUGGGGCACAGACCCUGUAAAGAGUAAACAGGAGUGUCUAAUAAUUUAUAAUUAUUUUGUUUGCGAUUUAAGAUAGUGAAACUAUUUUUAAUCAUAUAAAAUUAUUUAUAUGUACAUUCGUUGUAUAUAUAUUUAAAAAAAGGUAGGAUUUUCACUAUAUAGAAAUUAGAGAUAAUAAAAAUAUUAAGAAUAUACCUUUCAGGUAACACUAAUAUUUUUUAGCUAUUAAGACAGGCUAUCAAGCUAGGCUCUAAUAGUUAUGUAUUAAUUAUCUAAAAAGCUCAACGGCUAAAUCUUGCCUUACUGUUUGAUUAUCAACAAAUCUUACAGUUGCGUAAGCAGGGCAUAGGAUCACAAGAUGCAACAAGGAAAGAUCUUGGAUUAUUGGAAAAGCUACGCUAGGGAUAACAGGCUAAUUUGCGCAAGAGUGUACAAAAUGAGUGCGCGGUUUGGCACCUCGAUGUCGGCUUAACUUAUCCUCAUGGAUGCAGGAACUAUGUAGGGUGCGACUGUUCGUCGAUUAAAAAGUUACAUGAGCUGGGUUAAAUACGUCGUGAGACAGUAUGGUUUCUAUCUUCUAGGGGGAAUUAGAAUAUAAUAAGAACUAACUUUUGUACGAAAGGAACAAGAAGAAUUUAAUUUGUAAAAGGGUUAAAUAAUAGUUACUAACCUAUGGUUUACCUGUUGUCUAUGUGCCCAAAUAUUAAAAUAUAUAUAUGGAGGAAGCUCCUUAAGAGCUUCCCCCGCAAAUUAUAUAUAUCUGUAUAGCUAGCCUGCGGACUCCGGUUAUGCCUGAGUUUGGCAAGCUAAAGCUAUACAUAGGGAUGUUUCUUUCACUAAGAUAAAUAUAUAGCAUAGGCACGGCAGGAAAGCUAAGUUGGUUAAGGAUAAGUGCUGAAAGCAUAUAGGCACGAAGCUUAUCUUAAGAUAUUUCUUAAAUAUACGUAAAAUAUUAUUACGAAGGAUGUAAUAUAGGCUUUAUCCGUACGAAUCAGGAGAUUUUUAAGAAUAAAGUACUAAUUUUAUAAAUAACUAUUUAU